UUUAUUUUGCUCUGUUCAGAUUUUAUUUUAACACUCAUAUCAAGAAUUUAGAAUCAUCAAUUUAUAUGACAUAAAAACUUGCUCACAUUCUGUUCUAAAUCUAAAUCUAAUUUCCUGGAGACUAUAUAUGAUCAAUUUAGUCCAGCCCACAAAACCAAAGCCCAACCAGCCCACUUUCUUUCUUCUCAUCUUCUUCUGUCCCUAUCUCCUUCUCUCCCUCACGCCUUCUCUCCUGUGCCGCCAUCCCCAAACAGCGCCGCCAACACCGACGCUCUCCCUCAGGCCGGCUGCCAUGCCCCACUCCGGUGAUCUCCCUAGCAGCUACCCCUGCAGUGAUUUGAUCCCCCUAGUUCCCACAAACUCAUGUCCUGCUUCACCUCCAUCCUCUACUACCACCACUCCUCUCUCAAGUAAUUUGAGCAUUGCUGUCCUCCAUGGCUAUUGGUACCCAACUCCUGUGAUGGUCGCUGUGGAGACGGCCAAUGCCUCAAAUGGCAACUCUGCCGGCCACAACCCUCACCACUUCUAUUGGUUGGUUGAUUCUACUGAAUCAGCGUCUCCUCCUUGAGCUGGGGUACCUGCUCCAAAUGGAGCUGGAGCCCCUGCUCCACCUGAUGUUGGGUGAUUUUGCCCUCUUGUAUUUUUCUUUUCUUCUCUAACUCUCUGGUUAUGGUGGUUCUUCUUGCUAACUGGUUUUGGUCUCUACGAGGAAAAUGAGGCUCGGUCAGGAUGGAGUUCACACUGAUAUGGUUUUUGUGACAGGGACAUGGUUGACUACUAGGUGACUCACCUACUAAGGUUUUACUGGUGGUCUCCCUGUUUGACACCUAAGCAUGGUUUAUUCGGUGGAGGCUCAGCAUAAUUUUUCACAGAUUUGCAAUUAAAUAAAAACCUAGUGAAAAAUAUAAUAUUUGUAACUUUUGCAUUAUAGUACCAUAGACUUUAAAAAUAUGGAGAUUACUUUGAGUUUAGGGACUGAUUUUCAAUUGCCCAAAAACUCAGAGUUUACCUAAGAAAUAAAUAGUUUUGGAAGCUACUAAGAGAUGGCUAAUGUUACUAAUUUUGUGCCCCGAAAUGGUUUGGUUGCAAAAUAUGUGACAUCAAGCAACUCUAAAUUUUCUCUUUUGCCUAAAUCUUAUAUUUGAAAUCUCCUAAAGCAAUUAGGUGUGGUCACAGAUCACACCAAUAUUUUUAUUUAAUUUUCACUAUUUCUAUUUUAGAUGAAUAAUGUAUGAGAUGCAUUAUUUGAUGUAUGCAACAACACUGUAUAAUGUAUAUGUGAAGAAAUAAAGAAUUUACUUAUGUGUCUAA